GACGAACGCUGGCGGCGUGCUUAACACAUGCAAGUCGAACGGAAAGGCCCCUUUGGGGGUACUCGAGUGGCGAACGGGUGAGUAACACGUGAGUAACCUGCCCUUGACUUCGGGAUAACUUCAGGAAACUGGGGCUAAUACCGGAUAGGAAUCCUUGCUGCAUGGUGGGGGUUGGAAAGCUUCGGCGGUUUUGGAUGGACUCGCGGCGUAUCAGCUUGUUGGUGGGGUAGUGGCUUACCAAGGCUUUGACGGGUAGCCGGCCUGAGAGGGCGACCGGCCACAUUGGGACUGAGAUGCGGCCCAGACUCCUACGGGAGGCAGCAGUGGGGAAUAUUGCACAAUGGGCGGAAGCCUGAUGCAGCAACGCCGCGUGCGGGAUGACGGCCUUCGGGUUGUAAAACGCUUUCAGCAGGGGCGAAGCUUGUGGUGACGGUACCUGCAGAAGAAGCACCGGCUAACUACGUG
rnacentral:rRNA from 1 species